rnacentral:rRNA from 1 species
GAGUUUGAUCUUGGCUCAGGAUGAACGCUGGCGGCGUGCCUAAUACAUGCAAGUCGAGCGAACGGACGAGAAGCUUGCUUCUCUGAUGUUAGCGGCGGACGGGUGAGUAACACGUGGAUAACCUACCUAUAAGACUGGGAUAACUUCGGGAAACCGGAGCUAAUACCGGAUAAUAUUUUGAACCGCAUGGUUCAAAAGUGAAAGACGGUCUUGCUGUCACUUAUAGAUGGAUCCGCGCUGCAUUAGCUAGUUGGUAAGGUAACGGCUUACCAAGGCAACGAUGCAUAGCCGACCUGAGAGGGUGAUCGGCCACACUGGAACUGAGACACGGUCCAGACUCCUACGGGAGGCAGCAGUAGGGAAUCUUCCGCAAUGGGCGAAAGCCUGACGGAGCAACGCCGCGUGAGUGAUGAAGGUCUUCGGAUCGUAAAACUCUGUUAUUAGGGAAGAACAUAUGUGUAAGUAACUGUGCACAUCUUGACGGUACCUAAUCAGAAAGCCACGGCUAACUACGU